UACGUAGGGUGCAAGCGUUGUCCGGAAUUAUUGGGCGUAAAGAGCUCGUAGGCGGCUUGUCGCGUCGGUUGUGAAAGCCCGGGGCUUAACCCUGGGUCUGCAGUCGAUACGGGCAGGCUAGAGUUCGGUAGGGGAGACUGGAAUUCCUGGUGUAGCGGUGAAAUGCGCAGAUAUCAGGAGGAACACCGGUGGCGAAGGCGGGUCUCUGGGCCGAUACUGACGCUGAGGAGCGAAAGCGUGGGGAGCGAACAGG
rnacentral:rRNA from 1 species